rnacentral:RNase_P_RNA from 1 species
CGACGCGGCCGGACGGUCGCGCGUCGGGCGAGUGUCGCCCGGCGUGAGGAAAGUCCGAGCACGACAGGACACGGUGGUGGGUAACGCCCACCCGCUCCCGCGGCCGGGGGCGAGGGAAAGUGCCACAGAGAACAGACCGCCGAUGGCCCCUCUCAACGCUCGGAUCUGAGAUCUUGAAUCUGAGAUUCCGGGUCUGAGAGUUGAGAGGGGAUCAGGCAAGGGUGAAACGGUGCGGUAAGAGCGCACCGCUCCG